UACGUAGGCGUCGAGCGUUGUCCGGAUUUAUUGGGCGUAAAGAGCCCGCAGGCGGCUUGGCAAGUUUGAGGUGAAAUCUCCCGGCUUAACUGGGAGGGGGCCUCGAAAACUGCCAGGCUUGAGGCAUGGAGAGGGAUGCGGAAUUCCCGGUGUAGUGGUGAAAUGCGUAGAUAUCGGGAGGAACACCAGUGGCGAAGGCGGCCCUCUGGGCCGGGCCUGACACUGAGAGACGAAAGCUAGGGGAGCGAAUGGG
rnacentral:rRNA from 1 species